CCUCAAGUAAAGCAACCUUCUUGAAAUGUGUAUGCUGUCUUGUACAACGCGAUAAUGCUUGAUUGAGAAAGCGGAUUACAACUAGAACUUUCAGAUAUUCCAUGUUCAGACCCUUGUGCCACUGCCUGAAGCAUUAAUUGCCAGUGCAUCUGCGGAGGAGUUUAUGCUGCACUUGUUACAGUUUGAUCAACAGUUGGUUAAGCUGGGGCAGGAGUUUGAAGAUGUUGAGGAGAAACCAGAUUUCUUGUCGAAAGGUCUUGAAAUAAGUUGAAGUCGUGGAUGCUGUCAACGGAGAUGGGACCAGUCAAGCUGCAAAGAUAUGCAAAGCGACUUCUAAUAGUGCUUUGACAGCCGGUGCUCCAUCCUAAUUCUUUUAUUGCAAGCCAGUUUAAGAUUUUGACUUUGUUUAAUGAUUUUCAUGUGGAAUGAUGUAUGUGGUGUUAAUGUUGUAGUUGAAUUAUUAAUUGUAUGUGUUCUCCGGAUUUUUUUCUUCUGCUGAUGUAUACACUACAAAUAUUAAGAUUUUACUGAGCUAUUAUGGGUAGAUGAAGAUGCAUUUGAGGAGGUUCUCAUACAAAAGGCAAAGGGUAAUUAUU